rnacentral:rRNA from 1 species
UUCCGGUUGAUCCCGCCGGAGGCCACUGCUAUGGGGGUCCGACUAAGCCAUGCGAGUCGAGGGGGCGUCCCUUCUGGGACGCCACCGGCGGACGGCUCAGUAACACGUCGGUAACCUACCCUCGGGAGGGGGAUAACCCCGGGAAACUGGGGCUAAUCCCCCAUAGGCCUGGGGUACUGGAAGGUCCCCAGGCCGAAAGGGGACCGUUAGGUCCCGCCCGAGGAUGGGCCGGCGGCCGAUUAGGUAGUUGGUGGGGUAACGGCCCACCAAGCCGAAGAUCGGUACGGGUCGUGAGAGCGGGAGCCCGGAGAUGGACACUGAGACACGGGUCCAGGCCCUACGGGGCGCAGCAGGCGCGAAACCUCCGCAAUGCGGGAAACCGCGACGGGGGGACCCCCAGUGCCGUGCCUCUGGCACGGCUUUUCCGGAGUGUAAAAAGCUCCGGGAAUAAGGGCUGGGCAAGGCCGGUGGCAGCCGCCGCGGUAAUACCGGCGGCCCGAGUGGUGGCCACUAUUAUUGGGCCUAAAGCGGCCGUAGCCGGGCCCGUAAGUCCCUGGCGAAAUCCCACGGCUCAACCGUGGGGCUCGCUGGGGAUACUGCGGGCCUUGGGACCGGGAGAGGCCGGGGGUACCCCCGGGGUAGGGGUGAAAUCCUAUAAUCCCGGGGGGACCGCCAGUGGCGAAGGCGCCCGGCUGGAACGGGUCCGACGGUGAGGGCCGAAGGCCAGGGGAGCGAACCGGAUUAGAUACCCGGGUAGUCCUGGCUGUAAAGGAUGCGGGCUAGGUGUCGGGCGAGCUUCGAGCUCGCCCGGUGCCGUAGGGAAGCCGUUAAGCCCGCCGCCUGGGGAGUACGGCCGCAAGGCUGAAACUUAAAGGAAUUGGCGGGGGAGCACUACAAGGGGUGGAGCGUGCGGUUCAAUUGGAAUCAACGCCGG